rnacentral:lncRNA from 13 species
AUUUUUAUAUCUUUUAUUACGCCACAUCGAAAUUAAUUUGCCUUUUGAUAUUAUUGAUUUAUUAUAUAUUGAAUCUUUUUUCUUGAUUGGAGGAAUAUAAUAUGUUUCAGAUGUUUCAGUAGGAAAAAUUUCAACAAUUGUUUUAGAUAUAUGCUCACAUAAAUCAUUUGUUAAACUAUAAGAAAUAAUAAAAUUAAAGAGAUUAAUAGUAGAAUAGGUUAAAAGUAAAGUACAAUAUGUAAAAUUAAAGUAAAUUAUUACCAUGCAGACAUAUUUUCAAUGUACAACAACAGAUUAAAAUAAAAGACAAAAUUGAGUUUUGAAAAAAAUAAAUCUAAAAGACAGCCACUCGAAAUAAAAAAAACUGUUCUUUGGAAAAAGUGCUACUUUUAACUUGCAAGUUAUUUUUUACAAGCAAAAUAAAGCAAAAUAUGGAUACCAAAACAUCAGCAAAGAGUUACAAGAAAUAAAAUUUAUAGUGAGGGGAAAAAGAUUAGUUAUUAAAUACUGCAGAUGCACUAAAGACUGUUCCAGCAAUUUAUGUGGCUGCAAAAAAGGAAAUGAGUUCUGCACACAACAUUGCAAAUGUUCGCAGUGUAAAAACAAAGCUAAUUUAAAUAAAACAUCUGAAAAGAAUUCAUCUGAAGAUAAAACUAAAGAUAAGACUGAAGAUAAAACUGAUAAUAAAAGAAAAGAUAUGAAAA